GACGUAGGGCGCGAGCGUUGUCCGGAUUUAUUGGGCGUAAAGAGCUCGUAGGCGGCUUGUCGCGUCGUCCGUGAAAACCUGCAGCUCAACUGCAGGCUUGCGGUCGAUACGGGCAGACUGGAGUACUGCAGGGGAGACUGGAAUUCCUGGUGUAGCGGUGGAAUGCGCAGAUAUCAGGAGGAACACCGGCGGCGAAGGCGG
rnacentral:rRNA from 1 species